UAGCUUUGUUCCCUCACUCUGUCAAUAUUUCAUACUCUAAGCAAUCUCUAUAAAUUAAAGGAAUAAUUUUAGGCUCUCAAAUUCAAAUUGGAGUUCAACCCACUCUCUGUUUCUGGAUAAGAAGGUUCGAUUGCAUUCAGAACUUGGUCUGUGAUAUUUUCUUCGUGGGAUUUGGAUUUGGAAACUAGUGGACUCUACCUUAGAAACAUCGGGUCCAGUGGCACCCACCACCUCGGUGGUAAUCCGGAAGAUCGUUACGGCAACGAUGGCUGGUAACCAGAACUACCUUGACGGUGGCUUUGGCCAUGGAUAGUAAAGUGAAAUUUAUUUAUGGCUCUAAAUCGUGUUUGAACAGUAUUUUCAAUACGAAGAGAAGUUGCAACAGUAAGCCGGGCAGAGCUUACGGAAGCCUCUUAGCGCUAUGAAAGUUAGUAUGUUGUUAAGCUUAUGAUAUUGUAUAUCAUGGGGUACCUGGGUAGUUUAGUUUACUUGCCUUGAUCCUAUGUCAUUUUUAUACAUUUUGCUGUUAUCACUGGGAUCUUGUACAUGAUCUUUAUAUGGUUUGUUACUGAAAACUGGUCGAUUUCUCAUACGAUGGGUCUGGUAUUGGGUGUUUGCAACAGAGCUUUUGUAUCUCUCUUGUUUUCAGACGCCUAUGUAUUUCGUAGACGUACUUAUAUAUGUUAUCAUGCUCGGAGAUUCCUUUUUGUACCUUAUCUCUUAAAUUAUGACCUUUGAAAUUUUCUGUGUGUAAACUAAACUUAGAUUUGGGUGCUUGAAAUGUUUAGGUGUGCUUAAUAAUUGUUUUGAACUUGAGCAUUUUUCAUUAAAAAUUGGGAGGGUGGUGUAGACUCUUAAAUACAUUUGAUUAUGCUAAGUUUAAGUUUAAUUGUCUUGUUUCCAUAUGAUUUCUUUAGCUUGAAGUUGUUAGUGGGCACAGUACUAUACCACCUGA